rnacentral:rRNA from 1 species
CAUGCAAGUCGAACGAGAAUCUGCUGAAGGAGGAUUCGUCCAACGGAUGUAGAGGAAAGUGGCGGACGGGUGAGUAACGCGUGAGGAACCUGCCUUGAAGAGGGGGACAACAGUUGGAAACGACUGCUAAUACCGCAUGAAGCAUAGGGGUCGCAUGAUCCUUAUGCCAAAGAUUUAUCGCUUCAAGAUGGCCUCGCGUCUGAUUAGCUGGUUGGCGGGGUAACGGCCCACCAAGGCGACGAUCAGUAGCCGGACUGAGAGGUUGAACGGCCACAUUGGGACUGAGAUACGGCCCAGACUCCUACGGGAGGCAGCAGUGGGGAAUAUUGGGCAAUGGGCGCAAGCCUGACCCAGCAACGCCGCGUGAAGGAAGAAGGCUUUCGGGUUGUAAACUUCUUUUAAGAGGGAAGAGCAGAAGACGGUACCUCUAGAAUAAGCCACGGCUAACUACGUGCCAGCAGCCGCGGUAAUACGUAGGUGGCAAGCGUUGUCCGGAUUUACUGGGUGUAAAGGGCGUGCAGCCGGGUCUGCAAGUCAGAUGUGAAAUCCAUGGGCUCAACCCAUGAACUGCAUUUGAAACUGUAGAUCUUGAGUGUCGGAGGGGCAAUCGGAAUUCCUAGUGUAGCGGUGAAAUGCGUAGAUAUUAGGAGGAACACCAGUGGCGAAGGCGGAUUGCUGGACGAUAACUGACGGUGAGGCGCGAAAGUGUGGGGAGCAAACAGGAUUAGAUACCCUGGUAGUCCACACUGUAAACGAUGAAUACUAGGUGUGCGGGGACUGACCCCCUGCGUGCCGCAGUAAACACAAUAAGUAUUCCACCUGGGGAGUACGAUCGCAAGGUUGAAACUCAAAGGAAUUGACGGGGGCCCGCACAAGCGGUGGAUUAUGUGGUUU